rnacentral:rRNA from 1 species
GGACUACCAGGGUUUCUAAUCCUGUUUGCUCCCCACGCUUUCGUGCCUCAGUGUCAGUUACAGUUUUGUAAGCUGCCUUCGCAAUUGGUGUUCUGUGUCAUAUCUAAGCAUUUCACCGCUACACGACACAUUCCGCUUACAUCAAAUGUACUCAAGAAUAACAGUAUCAAUGGCAGUUCUACAGUUGAGCUGCAGUAUUUCACCACUGACUUGUCAUUCCACCUACGCACCCUUUAAACCCAGUGAAUCCGGAUAACGCUUGGAUCCUCCGUAUUACCGCGGCUGCUGGCAC